GUUAUAUUUUGAGCUCAAACCUGAAGGAACAAGCCAUGAUAACCACACCAGUCUCAAAAUGAGGUGGUAGACAAGGAUUCCUGAUCAACUGCUGUACGAAUCCGAGGUGGUGCUGUUAUAUGUUCCAAAUGCUGGCAUCUGGCCCACACCCCACCCUGACUCCUUGUCCCCACCCCCAGGGCCCCAGUGAUCUGAGACUGGGGCACUGGGCAUAGGGAUAGUGAGUGAGUUCUCAUGAGAUCUGAUGGUUUGAUAAGGGGCUUGACAGUUCCCCUCUAAUGCUUUCUCCUGCUGCCAUGUAAGACACCCCUUGCUUCCCCCUCAACUUCCGCCUCAAUUGUAAGUU
rnacentral:lncRNA from 1 species